rnacentral:rRNA from 3 species
UACGGAGGGUGCAAACGUUGCUCGGAAUCAUUGGGCGUAAAGCGCACGUAGGCGGUCCAGCAAGUCGGGUGUGAAAGCCCUCGGCUUAACCGAGGAAGUGCAUUCGAAACUACUGGACUUGAAUACUGGAGAGGAUCGCGGAAUUCCCGGUGUAGAGGUGAAAUUCGUAGAUAUCGGGAGGAACACCAGUGGCGAAGGCGGCGAUCUGGACAGAUAUUGACGCUGAGGUGCGAAAGCGUGGGGAGCAAACAGG